AAUCUUCCACAAUGGGCGAAAGCCUGAUGGAGCAACGCCGCGUGAGUGAUGAAGGCCUUCGGGUUGUAAAACUCUGUCAUUCGGGACGAACCGGAGUCUGAGGAAAUGCAGACUCUCUGACGGUACCGGAGGAGGAAGCCCCGGCUAACUACGUGCCAGCAGCCGCGGUAAUACGUAGGGGGCAAGCGUUGUCCGGAUCCACUGGGCGUAAAGCGCGCGCAGGCGGUGAUGUAAGUCUGAGGUGAAAACCCGAAGCUCAACUUCGGGACUGCCUUGGAUACUGCGUCACUUGAGGAUAGGAGAGGCAAGGGGAAUUCCACGUGUAGCGGUGAAAUGCGUAGAGAUGUGGAGGAACACCUGUGGCGAAGGCGCCUUGCUGGCCUAUUUCUGACGCUGAGGCGCGAAAGCGUGGGGAGCAAAC
rnacentral:rRNA from 1 species